CUGCAGAAGAAGAGCGGGGAGAACAUCAACAACAAGAUGCAGCUGGUGAUGAAGAGCGACAAGUAAAUGCUCGGCUACAAGACCAUCCUCAAGACGCUACGCAGCUCCAAUGGUAUGGAUCUUUUUGUCACUGUUGAUUGA
rnacentral:rRNA from 1 species